rnacentral:rRNA from 1 species
UACGUAGGGGGCGAGCGUUGUCCGGAUUUAUUGGGCGUAAAGAGCUCGUAGGCGGUUUGGUAAGUCGGGUGUGAAAUCUCCACGCUCAACGUGGAGGGGCCACUCGAUACUGCCAUGACUCGAGUCCGGUAGAGGAGUGUGGAAUUCCCGGUGUAGCGGUGAAAUGCGUAGAGAUCGGGAGGAACACCUGUGGCGAAGGCGGCAUCCUGGACCGGCAUUGACGCUGAGGAGCGAAAGCCAGGGGAGCAAACGGG